rnacentral:lncRNA from 10 species
CCGCGUUGGCCCGGGGAGCCGGGCCAGGGCUGCGUGGGGGGCGCGGGCGAGCGUCUGCAGGGCCCUCGGGCUUGCCGUGGGCGGCUCGAGCAAAUUGUGGCUACUAAUUUGCCCCCUGAAGAUCAAGAUGGCUCUGGGGAUGACUCUGACAACUUCUCCGGCUCAGGUGCAGGUGCUUUGCAAGAUAUCACCUUGUCACAGCAGACCCCCUCCACUUGGAAGGACACGCAGCUCCUGACGGCUAUUCCCACGUCUCCAGAACCCACCGGCCUGGAGGCUACAGCUGCCUCCACCUCCACCCUGCCGGCUGGAGAGGGGCCCAAGGAGGGAGAGGCUGUAGUCCUGCCAGAAGUGGAGCCUGGCCUCACCGCCCGGGAGCAGGAGGCCACCCCCCGACCCAGGGAGACCACACAGCUCCCGACCACUCAUCUGGCCUCAACGACCACAGCCACCACGGCCCAGGAGCCCGCCACCUCCCACCCCCACAGGGACAUGCAGCCUGGCCACCAUGAGACCUCAACCCCUGCAGGACCCAGCCAAGCUGACCUUCACACUCCCCACACAGAGGAUGGAGGUCCUUCUGCCACCGAGAGGGCUGCUGAGGAUGGAGCCUCCAGUCAGCUCCCAGCAGCAGAGGGCUCUGGGG